GCAGUCGAGGGGUAUAGGUUUUCGGACCUAGAGACCGGCGCACGGGUGCGUAACGCGUAUGCAAUCUACCUUUUACAGAGGGAUAGCCCAGAGAAAUUUGGAUUAAUACCUCAUAGUAUAGCUGUACCGCAUGGUACUACUAUUAAAGUCACAACGGUAAAAGAUGAGCAUGCGUCCCAUUAGCUUGUUGGUAAGGUAACGGCUUACCAAGGCAACGAUGGGUAGGGGUCCUGAGAGGGAGAUCCCCCACACUGGUACUGAGACACGGACCAGACUCCUACGGGAGGCAGCAGUGAGGAAUAUUGGUCAAUGGGCGCAAGCCUGAACCAGCCAUGCCGCGUGCAGGAUGAAGCAUCUAUGGUGUGUAAACUGCUUUUGUACGAGAAGAAACACUCCUACGUGUAGGAGCUUGACGGUAUCGUAAGAAUAAGGACCGGCUAACUCCGUGCCAGCAGCCGCGGUAAUACGGAGGGUCCAAGCGUUAUCCGGAAUCAUUGGGUUUAAAGGGUCCGUAGGCGGUUUAGUAAGUCAGUGGUGAAAGCCCAUCGCUCAACGGUGGAACGGCCAUUGAUACUGCUAAACUUGAAUUAUUAGGAAGUAACUAGAAUAUGUAGUGUAGCGGUGAAAUGCUUAGAUAUUACAUGGAAUACCAAUUGCGAAGGCAGGUUACUACUAAUGGAUUGACGCUGAUGGACGAAAGCGUGGGGAGCGAACAGGAUUAGAUACCCUGGUAGUCCACGCCGUAAACGAUGGAUACUAGCUGUUCGGAGCAAUCUGAGUGGCUAAGCGAAAGUGAUAAGUAUCCCACCUGGGGAGUACGUUCGCAAGAAUGAAACUCAAAGGAAUUGACGGGGGCC
rnacentral:rRNA from 1 species